rnacentral:lncRNA from 1 species
GAUUCAUGCAAGGCCCUCGGGUGAGGGACUGUCGAUCCCGACAGCCAUGCCAGCGCAGGGCCAAGAAAGAAUGUCCUGGAAGGGUGGGGAUGGGUUGGGCUUUCUGAACCCUCCCACCUCAGGAAGGCAAAAGACACAGAUCACAGGCAGCAAGGGGCUGCCAUUUCUGAUGCUUAUACCCUCCACGGUGGCUACAGGAGCCCGCACCAGCAGUGGGAGGAGCAACAUUCCAGAAGCUGCUUCUCUCUGCACCGAUGCAGAAACUGUGCCUGCCAGAUAGUAAUGAUCCAGCCGAGGGCACCAGGCUACAAUUUGCAGAACUGGACUGAAGAAUGGCUGACAUAGCCAGCUGCAGUGGCUCAUGCUUGUAAUCCCAACAGUUUAGGAGGCCAAAGCAGGAGGAUCACUUGAAGUCAUGAGUUCAAGACCAGCCUGAGCAACAUGGCAAGACCCCAUCUCUAUAAAAAAUACAAUAAUUAGCAGGGCAUGGUCGCACAUGUCUGUAGUCCCAGCUGCUUGGUAGGCUGAGGCGGAUGGAUCAUUUCAGCCCAGGAGGCAAGACUGCAGUGAGCCAUGAGUAUGCCACUGCACUCCAGCCUGGGUGACAAAAGAAAAAAAAAAUAGAAUGGAUGAUAUAAACUUUAUUGUUUACUGUGGGGUUGCGGUGGGGGGAGGCGUUAGUUCGUUCUUCUUUCUCUCAAUACCUUUACAAAGUCUCUGUUUCAAAAGAGAGCGCAGAUUAUGCCUGCUACCCCAAGUCCUGAGUCAGAAUUCAAAGGCAAAUAUGGUAGGGUGAUGAGGCAGAAAGGACUUAGGCAGCAGGAGAGCUGUGAUUGGUGGAAGGGGCAGGCAGGAAGAGUUUGGGUUUGGAGACACUGGUUGCUGAGUCAGAACUCCAGCUCUGUCAUUGCCUGUGUGACUUUGGGCAAGUUACAUGUGAUUGUUGGAGCUUCCAUUUCAUUUGCUAAAUAAUUGGGAUCAUAAUACAUACAACGUGGAGUUGUUAGGAUGUCACGAGAGAAUGCACAAGAAGUAAGUACUCCCGAAUUGAGCUAUUAUCUACCUCAAAGGAUUACUGGAGAAAUAGAAAAGGGAUAUAAAGAAACACAGCAAAGAUGCUUCAUAAAAGCUGUGGAGAAAAGGAAAUGCACGUACUAACUGUCAAGCAACGCAGCUCCUCGGUGCGGAUACAAAGCAAGGCACGGAAAGGGUCCUGCUGUCUGGGAUCUUGCUGCCUGGUCACCCAUCACGGGUGACAAGAUCCGACCUCCUUCCUGCUGCACUGAUGCCCCAUGGGCCAGCAAAUGCCCACCAAAGGCCAGGCACUGAGGUUCUGGCCUGUUUCUCUGCUUCUGGGGCCUGGCCUUGGAGACUCACCCUAGACUUGCAAACUCUUUCAAAAGUGUUCUUUGUUCCUAUGUAGCACCCAUAGCAAUCACUCAAAGACAGAAAUGACUGGGGUCUGAGAGCUGCAGCUGCAAGAAAGAGGAAGGGAGAUGAAAGGAAAUCCCGCCACCUGCUCCUUGCCACAAGAAUAGAUGACUCGAGCCCCUGCUCCCUUUUGGCCUCCCCUCCACUGAACCCCCAUUUCUGGAUUCCCAUAUUCUUCCAGGUCUCAAAUGCUCCAGGCAUGUCCAACUGCCAAACUCCUGAAAUGAAACAUCCUCUGAAGUCACAAGGCAUAGAUUGGGCCACUGUAGUCCUCCUGUGACCCCAGGAAAGGCCCCUGGCCUCCUCAAGCCUCAGUUUCCAUGUUUGUCAAGUGGGGAGAAUAAAGCAGCACUAGCACUGCCUGCCUCAUGGUUCUACUGUAAGAAUCAUGGGGCAGGUUGAAGGCAGAGGGACUUCCUCGGCUCAGUGUGCCUUCAAGUGGGAGCUGGGGAGUAUUAGCCAUGUUCCAGAGCACUGCAAAUGCGCUCCUUUAAGAGUAGAGACGCUACCUGUGGACCUCAUUUUCACUGUCAUUUUUCCAUGUGUUCUGAUUUUGUCCUAUUUGCCACAAGAGAGGGAUGGGGUUCUCACUGCGUCAACUCCACAGAGGGCUGUUCUCCCUGAGUUUUUAGCAUAAGUAACCCAGGACCCAAAUGAGGAAUUUGGGUGUUUAGAGGUCCUCUUAUGGGUUUAUUUUGAACUAGCUGCUAAGAAUAAUCAUUAAUCAUCAUGAAAUAAGUAAAUUGUGGGAUGCCGCCCAUGCAGCCUGCCAUAUGGAGUUGCCACUGUUAGAAGCAGGAUCUUCUCACAGCAAUAUCUGCCCCUGGAGAAGGACAUCUGCCAUUUGCCUUUUUUGUUUGUUUGUUUUAUUCCCUCCUCUCUCUCUCUUUUAUCUUCAUAUACCAUCAGUUUCUUUCCUAAUCAAUAAGCCUCAUGGACCAUCUACUAUUAUCUCAGUUUGAGCUAUUUUGCUUAUUUUUUUUUUAGUACAAACUACCUGGAAUUCCUACAUACUACUUAGCCUAUAUUUAAAGCCAGAUCCUUCUAAACAUGCCCUCCAAGUUUGAAGAAUAUCCGUUCAACCAGUUUUAUUUACACAAAAAGAGAGGCUUGUUUAAUUUAUAGGGAUAUGUAUUGUAACUAUCUGUCUCCACCCUAGAAAAAAUGCUGUCCUAGACAGCCCUGGACAAGUUGCUGAACUGUGUUCCAAGAAAGUGCUAGUUACUUGUCAUUUAUUGAGAAUACCCUUUGUUUAAAGAAAACUGAAAGCAUACCAGGCAUUGUGGUAAUAUCUUGUUUAGUCAUCAGCACCUCCUCCAACAGUUAGGUACUAUUAUGAUUCCAUUUUACAGGUGAGGAAAAUGAGAGUAGAGAGGAUGAGACAAUGAGAGUAGGAGGGAUGAGGCAGGUUUCUCAGAACCGCAAGCUCAUAAGUAAGAGCCAGGGUGCAAAUCAAGGCCUUCAAUCCACUUUCCAGGAGGCCUGCUGAUGAACUCACAAUGCUCUCCUACAAAAGGCCUGUGGGCUAGGUGCUGGUAUUGUCCUCAUUUUACAGAGCAGGGGGUGAGCUCAGAGAACCUUGGGUGUGAUGAGUUGAGUAAGGAGAGAUGAAAGAUGCUCUUGAACCUCAGCACACAGAGGUGGCCUCCAGGCUUCAAAUGGAUACUUUAUAUUUCUAUUAGUAACGUUACCUGCUACUAUAUUAUGCGAAUUGACUGGAUAGGUUUUCACUGAGUUUGGAAAGUAAGAGUGUGGGAUGGUUUUACUUAAACUAUAGGAUGUGGUGUACAUGUGAAAUAGAUCUUUGGGUUCUAACAUCUUUGGUACAUGUGAAAUAGAUCUUGGGGCCUCCAAGACAUAAUAACACCUAGGACCAACCACCCUCUCAGCAACUGAAGAACACUUUGUGUUUGAUUAUGCGUAAGAUUGUUUAAUCAAUCGCUUUUUUCCCCUGUCACAAUAUUCCACCUUCACGAAGUGUCUUUCAUCUUGGAUCUCCAAAACAGGAGUAAAAGCUGUAAUUAGUUGCAAUGACUGUUGUGUUUUUAAUAGUUACCUGCUGUAAUGUCCAUUUGACAGAUGAAGGGGCUGAGGCUUUGGGUCAGAGUAUGAUAUGCUAAAUGUGGAGAUCCAAGACAGAAGCUAGCCAAGUUCCUCCCACCCUGGAGAGCAGGGCUCCCGGGAGCCCUACAGGAAGCCUUGAUAUGUCACAGAACAAAAAGCACCAUAGAUGGUUUCAGCCUGUCUCCUCCUGCCUUGAGGCAGGGCUCAAGAUUCUUUCUGGAUUGAGAAAAAUAGUUGACUUUCCACCGCAUUUUAAAACAGCUAUUCAUGGACCAACCCUACUCCCAAAUGACAUGGAUGUGGAGCUUUUAGCACCAUCGAAAUAACUCAAUGAAAAAAGUACAUAACUUUGUUGUGAGCUCUUCCAAAAACCUGCACCAUUGAGCCUCAGCUAAAGGCCCAUACUUCAGAACUCAUUUGGGUGAUUAUAGGAAUGAUGAAGUCAUGACAAUUUCAUCAUCGGGAAGGCCUGCCAUGUCUUGGCAAUGAAGAAGGUGGCAGCCAGACUGAAGGGAAGAGGGGCUGCAAGACUUGGAGUUGGUGAUGGCAACCCUGGAGAGGAAAGGAACAUGGCCAAGAGGUUGGGAUUCAUGCUAGAUCAAGAAGGAAGAACCCAGAAGCAGCCCAGAGGCUUCACAGCUACAUAAGAAAAAAAAGGGGGCCAGGCACGAUGCCUCAUGCCUGUAAUCCAGCACUUUGGGAGCCUGAGGCGGGUGGAUCACGAGGUCAGGAGUUCGAGAGCAGCCUGACCAACACAGUGAAACCCUGUCUCCACUGAGAAUACAAAAAUUAGCCAGGCAUGGUGGCACACGCCUGUAAUCCCAGCUACUCAGGAGGCUGAGGCAGGAGAAUCCAGGAGGCGGAACUGCGGUGGGCAGAGAUCACGCCACUGUACUCUAUUCUGGGUGACAGAGUAAGACUCCAUCUCAAAAAAAAAAAAAGGAUGUGACUAUUGCCAAAACCAACUUGUAAAACAUCACCAUGAUAUGUCACCAAGCUACCUACGAGAUGCUGGGCAUACCUUCGGUGGAAGAAAGAAACAGCUAUACAACUUUGGGUUGCUUCAUUUUUCUCUUGCAUUUCUAGUUCAGGUUGGUUUUGGUGUUCUGUUGUUGUUGUUGUUUUGCAUUCCAAAAAAAAUAAAAAAUAA